GGGGGUGAACGGCUUCGACGUGAAUGGCAAAGCAAGGCGGCAAGCGGAGCAUAUGCCAUCUCCUAAAACUGGCAAACUUCAAAUACAAAUGCCAAUUACGCAUUUGCUACCCCUUCUCUAAAUUAGAGCAGGGCGUCUUGAGUGGAUGGCCGCAGGCCACUUUUAAGGCGUCGACUAUGCGGCUAUACUGGCCUAUGCGCUUUUCAUAAUCCAGUGAACAAACAAUAAGCUAGGCUCAUGUUAUCCUGGCCAUGGGAGAACAAAAAGCCGAAUCUUUAAAUCAUGGCGCUAAGCUUGUAGAUGCCGAGUGGCGUAAUUCGCGGACGCGGGUUCGAUUCCCGCCACCUCCACCA
rnacentral:tmRNA from 1 species